rnacentral:lncRNA from 1 species
AAUUUCAUGCAUUUACUUAUCAUUUUAUUUCAAUUUCAUGCAUCUGUUAGAAAAUCCGUUAAGUAAAUCAUUAAGUGAUGACGUGACAAAUAUGAGGUGCUGAUGUGGCUGCCAACCUUGCAUCAAGUAAAUAAAAUAAAAUAAAAAGGAUUAGUUAUUUAAAACCAUUUUUUAAUAAUUAAAAACUUUAAAAAUGAAAAAGAGGAUAUGGGGUGAAGGAUUUUAGCAUUUUUCGUCCCCAAUACCACCACCACAACCCGACGGAAAAAAAGGUCAUCGACGUCGCACCUGUCUGUUAACCACGCUUCCAAUUACCACCACAACAACCCAAGAUCUCACAACUCGUGUUGCAGCUUGGUCGAUUACGUCACUUCGAGUUCGAUCUCGACACGACUUAGCAGAUCGAGAGACUGAUUUGGCGACGGGGCACCACCCAUUUCAGCCCUAACUUCUUGAUUUCGUCCGACUAGGUGGAUGUGGACAACCCUCGUGCCUCGAUGUUCCCGUGCUGAAGCUUUGUGUGGUUUGUGACCGACGAGGUCACGAUAGACUUGCCAAAGACGGUGAUUGACGGCGGAAAUCCAUAGCGGUGUAAGAAGCUGCAUAAGUUGUCGCGACGGCAUCGUCUGCGACCUAAGAAGCCGAUGAGGCAGGAGAAAAGAUGGGAAAUGAUGCGUAGCCGACAGAGACAACUGCGGCAUCGAGAACGGCGGAGCUGGUGAGGUUGCUGUUGAUGGACUUGUUGGAGACAGACUACUAGAUGAGGAUGGAGGUGGCAACGGGAGAUUCUUGUUGCAUUCAAGCACAGAGCAUAUGAGGAUGGAGUAUAGGAGGAGAUGAGGUUAUUGGGAUAGGUGAAUGCGGC